GAUGAACGCUGGCGGCGUGCCUAAUACAUGCAAGUCGAGCGAACAGACGAGAAGCUUGCUUCUCUGACGUUAGCGGCGGACGGGUGAGUAACACGUGGAUAACCUACCUAUAAGACUGGGAUAACUUCGGGAAACCGGAGCUAAUACCGUAUAAUAUUUUGAACCGCAUGGUUCAAAAGUGAAAGACGGUCUUGCUGUCACUUAUAGAUGGAUCCGCGCUGCAUUAGCUAGUUGGUAAGGUAACGGCUUACCAAGGCAACGAUGCAUAGCCGACCUGAGAGGGUGAUCGGCCACAUUGGAACUGAGACACGGUCAAGACUCCUACGGGAGGCAGCAGUAGGGAAUCUUCCGCAAUGGGCGAAAGCCUGACGGAGCAACGCCGCGUGAGUGAUGAAGGUCUUCGGAUCGUAAAACUCUGUUAUUAGGGAAGAACAUAUGUGUAAGUAACUGUGCACAUCUUGACGGUACCUAAUCAGAAAGCCACGGCUAACUACGUG
rnacentral:rRNA from 1 species